CAGCAGCCACGGGAACACGAAGGGGGCUAGCGUUGUUCGGAUUUACUGGGCGUAAAGCGUGCGCAGGCGGCUUUGCAAGACAGAUGUGAAAUCCCCGGGCUCAACCUGGGAACUGCAUUUGUGACUGCAAGGCUAGAGUACGGUAGAGGGGGAUGGAAUUCCGCGUGUAGCAGUGAAAUGCGUAGAUAUGCGGAGGAACACCAAUGGCGAAGGCAAUCCCCUGGACCUGUACUGACGCUCAUGCACGAAAGCGUGGGGAGCAAACAGGAUUAGAUACCCCAGUAGUCCCUGUCUCUUAUAC
rnacentral:rRNA from 1 species